UGUGAUAAACACGCCUCCUUCUCGAAGAAACCACAGCACUGGAGUCAUUUUGAGAGUGUUUGCACCUGAAGUCACAAUGUUCACCAUGUAGGUGAAUCCUGCAAGCAAAUCGGAGAGCGUCAAGCUGCCCACUUUCCAGUGAAGUUGUAAUGGGCCACGAUGACGGCGUUGCUUUGAUACUCCCGAAACAUUCUGAGCAGGUAACCUGGAGACGAGGUGCUCAGUGGCAGAGUUGGAGCAACAGCGGCACUAGCAGCUGUCCUGCCUACAACUGACAAGAGCUCCGGCCGGCAGCUGAGCUGAGAGCUGAACCUUGGAUCAAGACUCGUCCUGAAGUGGGCUGGUCUUGACAUUCGCCUUCUCUCGUCUUCUGGCUGUGCUGAUGCAGCAUUUAUGGGUAAUGAAUUGCUUUGCCAACUUGAAGGUACUUUGACAUUAUAUAUGUAGGUCAAUGACGUGACUAAUCUUUUGUUCAGGUCUAUUAAGUUGCAUAAAAAUGCACGCUUCAUUAUACAUUCUUACGUGAAGAACUUGUUUUAUUUUUGUGAGUUAGAAGCAAUUUGAUGUAUCUUUGUGGGGCUUAUAAUCAAAAAUGCUAAGUUAAGAAAACAAAACGUUUUAUUGUAAAAAAAAAAACAACAACAACAAAACAGAUUUUAAAUCUUUAUUGAAAGUAAUAUUUCAAGAUUUAAGCAUUUUAGUACUUUUUACUUGACAUUUUUGAAACAUUGCCUUUUUUAGAUUAUAGUUCAAAGAUUUGUUUUUAAAAGAUUUCUUAAUUUUUUGUGAGACUUGCUGCUAAUGGUUAACAUUAAUUGUUUUUGUUUUUUUUGUUUUUUUUUUUUUUUUUAAUUUAAGAACUCCUGCAUUUUUUACCAUUUCUCAUCCUUAUACUCAAACACAAGACUCAUAAUGCAGGAUGUUUUGAGCCUCUACAGUAUUCUCUUCCUUCAUUCUGACGUGCAAACAGGCGCAUAAACAAGUAUGACUAAAUGAAUAAAUAAAUAACCCUGCUUAUUUUGAGUAUGUGAUGCACAAGUAUACGUAAAACAUGAGCAGUCUCGGAAUUGCAUUGUAAUUACAUAAGGCAGCGGAGAGUGUGAGCAAGUCCGAAGCCGGAUCCUACUUUCUUAAACAGGAAACUCUGUCAUUGUACCUCGAAGGGAGAGGGAUUUCCUUGAGAAACACCUAUGAGGUCAUACUGGGCCGUGCCGAACAAAGCCCUCCAGAGGAACACCAUGUCCCCUGUCUGAACGUGGAGCAGAAUAGCCACUACUUUAGUAGGCUAGCCUAAUGGCAAUAUCAGAGGGGCUCCACCUCCUCAGCCAGCAGACAGACUCAUCGCUCCUGCUGUGUCUGGAUAUCUUGGACUCAGCAUGUUACCUACAUUUACACACAAAGGCCUGAUAAUCAAGCACUCUACUCUGAUACUCCCCACAGAGACUGCUGGCUCACCCUGAGUCUUGGCUCCUGUUUCAGACACUUAUGUCUGGUGCUCCUGUGAUACAGAUAUGAUAGUUCCUGAGAAGAAGUAGGUGCAAUUCCAGAUGGAAGUUUAUAUGUGAUAUUUUUUCCAUACAUACAUAAAGACAUUUCCUGUUGAGGCUACCAAUGCUUUACACAUAACUGUGCAAACCAUUUGUUUCAAAAUAUUAAAAAGGUAAUAAAAAUUAAAACAUUAUUAUAUUUAAUUGCUUUAUUAAAGUAAAAAAAAAAAUCUCCCUUUAAAACUAAUAAUUAAAAAAUAAUUUAAUUAAAAUUAAAUACAAAAAAUACUCAAGAGUGUUGUUAGGUUCAACUACACUGUAAAAAUAAAACAUGAAAGAAUAUUAGACUGUUUUACAAGAAAAUACACUUCAAAAUGUAAUGUUUAAUGCAAUGUGUUACUUGUCAUUUCUUAUUCUUAUCAAUUGCUAGUUUACUGGCAAUAUCUGAGUGAAAAUUGUGUUUACACCACUUUUUUAUGGCGAAACUGCUACACUAUAGUUAAACUACAUAUAUAAUCUUGUUUGUUGUGUUUUCUAUUGUCUUUAUUCAUCACUCAAGCAUUGUCAUGGACCUCAAUGGGCCAUUCAGUUCUUUACCGCUGCAACGACUCUCUUAUUCAAUUAACUGAAAUUUCAUCAAUUAAGUGUUCAAUUCAUCAGUAAAGUGUUAAGAAGCUUGAAAUCACAGUUUUAACCUAAAUGAUCCAAAUGAACUGUCAGAGAUCACAAAGCUUUUGCCAAAUCAAUCAAUUUGAACUUUAUUCUCUCUGGCGAAAUCGCAUUAGCUGAAUACACAAACUUUACACAGCUCAGUCUUCUCUUUCAAUUCAUUUUACUGUUGUUAUUUGUGGUUGAGAGUGAUGGAAAGACACUCCCUUAGCUGAAUGCUGCUAUGGUGGUGUGGGAAAAUGCCAUUAAAUUUCAGUAAUUAAAUUCACUGUGUUGUCACACAAAGAGUCUCACUGGCCACUGGAAAUACUGAACGUGCGUCAAACCAACAAAUAUUUAGAUGACCAAUAAAUAAAUCCAUUAUUCCAGCUGCGGAGACCUUGACUCAUCCCAGAUCUUUUUCCAAAUUCAACAUUACUAUCUGGGAAGCAUUUGACAUAUUUGACACUCCCUACCAAUUCAGAGGAACAGCACUGUGAUUUCAUCUGCAUGUAGUCAAUGCUUAUCAAAGUUUCAAUAAAAAAUUGUUUUCUUAUAAUAAAAUAAGUGUUUCGUUAGGUUCAAGAGAGUUCAGCAUUGACAGUUCAGAAUAGAAGUUAUAUUCGUACUUUGUUAUCCUUGGCUUGGUGGAAAGGCUGGACCUAUGAGGUCAUGAGACUUCCUGUGUCCUAUGAGGGGGUGGGUUUGACCCUGCCCAACUGUCUAAAAGCCUUAGCUACCAGAAAUAAUGAUAGACCUGCUCUAUUUUUUUUAGCGAACAUAACUUAAAUUUAGCGCUUUUAAAACAAUAAAUAUCUGGCUGAAACAUUUGAAUGUUUAGAUUGAAUUUGAAAAGUUCCAAAUGGAAUGGAAAUGGUUGAAAUGAUACGUUUGUAUUAUCUUUAUUUGUUUAAAAAUUAGUUUCAGUGGUGUCUCAGAAGAACAGCGAUUAACAUUGGCAUGUUGUUAUUUAAAUGAAAAUCUUGGAUUAGUUUUUCUUCCAUUGCUUGUUGUUUUGCGCUCUUUGGGGGCUCAUUUGAGGCCCUGUUGUCUGUCUCUGAAGUGACUCGACCAUGUUGUGUUCAGUAAACAGCCUUUGGCCAGAAUGCUGGUGCAAGCCUAUCACAGCCACAACAAACUUUGAAUGAUGGUACUUUGUUAUUCGAAUUGACCCCCUAUCGUGACACUCAACCGUCGUCUGGUGGUGGGAUUCUGUUUGACUGACAGUAAUGCACAAAAACGAACCCUGUACAUGGAAAUCUAUUGAUUUAGUCUUUCGUUUUUAGUGUUUGCAGCUUUCUAGAGUACAGUCUGAAUCGCCUCGCUUUAAUAAGUGAACUUUCUCCUGAAGUUUGCCUUUGAGAUACAGACAGCUUGUAUUGACAGGUCUCAAGCUGUAAAAUUUAGAUUACAGUUGCAUGCAUCUGAAUGUGCAGCUUUCGUUGCCAAAUCAGAAUUUCCGUUUAUGCAAAAUAGAAAGAGACUGAAAAGAGUAGUUUGUGGCAAUGGAUGUUGUUGUGGUCAGCAGGGAUUUCUGGUACAAAUAAACACAGGAAGAAACCGCCAUUUGGGACCGUUUUGAUUAUACUGAAAGCUUACAUGUAUACUAUAGACUUUAUGUAGGGCUACUAACCUCCUGAUUUCCUGCAUGAACUUCUUGACUAAUUCUUCUCUCUUGAGAUUUGAAGAGAAACAGCAAAAGACUCCUGUCGUUGGUUAGAUUUUGCUGUGCAUUCUUACUCAUUUCACAAUACUGACUUUGAUUCUGAACUUUUGAGUACAUUACUUCUUUUAGAUCAGAUACAGUCUCAGACCAAACAGUGAAAGGAAAAGUUCAGCCAAAAAUGUGCAUCCUGCUGUGAUUAGCUUACCCUCACAUUGUCAUUAUUCACUGAUAAACUCAACAAAAGUCAUAUGGACUACAAAAAUGGC